rnacentral:rRNA from 1 species
AUGAAGCCGGAAUUGCUAGUAAUGGCAGGUCAGCAUACUGCCGUGAAUACGUUCCCGGGCCUUGUACACACCGCCCGUCACACCAUGAGAGUUGGGAAUACCCGAAGCCUGUGAGCUAACGUUAAGAGGCAGCAGUCGAAGGUAGAAUCAAUGAUUGGGGUGAAGUCGUAACAAGGUAUC